rnacentral:tRNA from 1 species
GGAGAAAUAGCUCAAUUGGUAGAGCGUCUGCCUUACAAGCAGAAAGUUGUCGGUUCAAGUCCGCCUUUCUUCA